GCAGCAGGCGCGCAAAUUACCCACUCCCGGCACGGGGAGGUAGUGACGAAAAAUAACGAUACGGGACUCAUCCGAGGCCCCGUAAUCGGAAUGAGAACAAUUUAAAUCCUUUAACGAGGAUCAAUUGGAGGGCAAGUCUGGUGCCAGCAGCCGCGGUAAUUCCAGCUCCAAUAGCGUAUAUUAAAGUUGUUGCGGUUAAAAAGCUCGUAGUCGAAUCUGUGUCCCGCGCCGCCGGUUCGUCGCUCGCGGCGUUUAACUGGCGUGUCCGCGGGACGUCCUGCCGGUGGGCUUAGCCCUUUCGCGAGGGCGGCGCCCAAUUAUAAUCCCGCCGUGGUGCUCUUCACCGAGUGUCGAGGCGGGCCGGCACGUUUACUUUGAACAAAUUAGAGUGCUUAAAGCAGGCUAAAAUUUUGCCUGAAUACUUCGUGCAUGGAAUAAUGGAAUAGGACCUCGGUUCUAUUUUGUUGGUUUUCGGAACCCCGAGGUAAUGAUUAAUAGGAACGGAUGGGGGCAUUCGUAUUGCGACGUUAGAGGUGAAAUUCUUGGAUCGUCGCAAGACGGACAGAAGCGAAAGCAUUUGCCAAAGA
rnacentral:rRNA from 1 species